rnacentral:rRNA from 1 species
CCUACGGGGGACAGCAGUAGGGAAUCUUCCACAAUGGGCGAAAGCCUGAUGGAGCAACGCCGCGUGGGUGAAGAAGGUCUUCGGAUCGUAAAACCCUGUUGUUAGAGAAGAAAGUGCGUGAGAGUAACUGUUCACGUUUCGACGGUAUCUAACCAGAAAGCCACGGCUAACUACGUGCCAGCAGCCGCGGUAAUACGUAGGUGGCAAGCGUUAUCCGGAUUUAUUUGGCGUAAAGGGAACGCAGGCGGUCUUUUAAGUCUGAUGUGAAAGCCUUCGGCUUAACCGGAGUAGUGCAUUGGAAACUGGGAGACUUGAGUGCAGAAGAGGAGAGUGGAACUCAAUGUGUAGCGGUGAAAUGCGUAGAUAUAUGGAAGAACACCAGUGGCGAAAGCGGCUCUCUGGUCUGUAACUGACGCUGAGGUUCGAAAGCGUGGGUAGCAAACAGGAUUAGAUACCCCAGUAGUC